GACGAACGCUGGCGGCGUGCUUAACACAUGCAAGUCGAACGGCAAGGCCCUGCUUUUUUGGUGUGCUCGAUUGGCGAACGGGUGAGUAACACGUGAGUAACCUGCCCUUGACUUUGGGAUAACUUCAGGAAACUGGGGCUAAUAUCGGAUAGGAGCUCCUGCUGCAUGGUGGGGGUUGGAAAGUUUCGGCGGUUGGGGAUGGACUCGCGGCUUAUCAGCUUGUUGGUGGGGUAGUGGCUUACCAAGGCUUUGACGGGUAGCCGGCAUGAGAGGGUGACCGGCCACAAGGGGACUGAGAGACGGCGCAGACGGCUACGGGAGGCAGCAGUGGGGAAUAUUGCACAAUGGGCGGAAGCCUGAGGCAGAGACGCCGCGUGCGGGAUGACGGCCUUCGGGUUGUAAACCGCUUUCGCCUGUGACGAAGCGUGAGUGACGGUAAUGGGUAAAGAAGCACCGGCUAACUACGUG
rnacentral:rRNA from 1 species